GCCAUCUUAGCUCAAUGGUAGAGCCCAUGGCUUUUAACCAUGUCCUGGUGGGUUUGAUUCCCACAGAUGAUG